AAUAAUGUUGUAAAUAAAAAUAUAUAUAGAGUAGAGCUAUGAUGCUAUCGUAAGUAUAAAGAAUAUGAUACUUUCGAAUUUUUCAGCCCCUUUAAUCAUUUCUAACAAUUGUAUUAAUAUUGUCAUCCUAUGAGGAUCACUCAAUCCUAGAUAUAUUACUCAAUCUUAGGAGGACCGCAAUCAUUCAAAUCAUAUAAUUCUUGAUCUAAAGGUCAAAAAAUCAAAAGUAUCAAAUUUUUUAUGCUUCCAAUAGCGCACGCACACACACAUAUACACACACAUACAUACAUAUAUAUAUAUAUAUAUACAUAUAUAUAUAGAGAGAGAGAGAGAGAGGGAGAGGGAGAGAGAGUAGGGCUACUGUGCUGUUAGGAGCACAAUAGUUCUUGUGUUUCUAACUUUCUAAUCACCAAUCAAUUUUGAUGGGUGGUUAGGAUGAGAGAGAAAAGAGAAAUUGAAGAGAAAUUCAAAAAGAAGAUAAAUUAAGACACUCAAUUUUUUCCAAUUUUUCUUCUCUCUUAUUUUAACUAUCCAUCAAAAUUGAUAGGUGGUUAGAAAUUUAGGAGCGCAAGGGUUGCUGUGCUCUUAAUAGGACAGUAGCCUUGCUCUCUCUAUAUAUAUAUAUUGAUGGGUUGCUGAUUUUAUAUGAUAACCGACUUAUUUUAAUAUACAAAAUGCAAAAUUAAUAAUAUUUUGACUUCAAAAUUUAACUUAAUUAUUUAUUUAAAAAAAAUUAUAAUUGCGAGAAUAAAAUAUACUAAUUAAAUCUGUAAAAAUAAAUAACACAUUUAAAUUUUCAACUCAAAGUGUCGUUAGCUUAGCCAAAUCAAACAAGUUAAAAGAUUAAGCAAUAAAAUCAAAAUUUUGAAAGUUGGAUAGAAUGAUAGUUCACCUAAGUUCUGUAUGUUUUUAUUUUUUUAACAUCAUAGAAUGAUAAAAUAAAAAUAGAAAACGAAGCAGAGGACUCAAAAAU
rnacentral:lncRNA from 1 species